CCUACGGGAGGCAGCAGUGAGGAAUAUUGGUCAAUGGCCGGAAGGCUGAACCAGCCAAGCCGCGUGAAGGACGAAGGUGUCAAGCAUUGUAAACUUCUUUUGUCAAGGGACAAAAUCAGGCUCGAGAGCCUGACCGAGGGUACUUGAAGAAAAAGCAUCGGCUAACUCCGUGGCAGCAGCCGCGGUAAUACGGAGGAUGCGAGCGUUAUCCGGAUUGAUUGGGUGUAAAGGGUGCGUAGGGGGACAGUUAAGUCAGCGGUAAAAGCCCGGGGCUCAACCCCGGCGAGCCGUUGAAACUGGGUGUCUUGAGAUGUCGAGAGGUAUGCGGAAUGCGCAGUGUAGCGGUGAAAUGCUUAGAUAUUGCGCAGAACUCCGAUUGCGAAGGCAGCAUACCGGCGGCGAUCUGACGCUGAGGCACGAAAGCGUGGGUAUCGAACAGGAUUAGAUACCCCUGUAGUC
rnacentral:rRNA from 1 species